GUAAACCCUGAUUGUUGAUUCAACUCACAGAGAUUGAGUUCAUAUGACUUAAAUGCAUUAAAACUAUGGCAUUACUUAUUAUUUCUGAUUCAAAUUAACUUUUUUGUGUCCUUUCUGAUUGUACUCAUGUUUUUAAGUCAAAUCAAUAACAAAUUUAUUGUCUGUGCUCAAAUUACUUAAUAUCAUCAAGUUUUGCCUGUUGCUAAUAGCAACACAUUGGCGCCACCCACAAACCCGCCAGGAAUCCAGUUUUUACCAGUUCUCAGAACACUGUGAGCCAGAAAGAGAAGCUACAGCAGAAGCAUCUUUCACCAGUGGAGUUGUUUGAAGCAUUUGAAGCCUUCAGUGGACCUGAGCUCAGCGUAAAAAAGGCUGGAGCUGAGCUGAGGUGAAGGUGGCCUGCCAUCACCCAGAUGUGUGACAGCUGGCUGGCUCUCUGUCCUGAACGCCAGGUGUGUCUGGAGUUCUAGAGGCUGGUUGGUAAGAGCCUGAGACAGGAGUUCCACAAGGUCCGUGACCAUUGCAGUCCCAGGCUCAUGGAAAUCUUCAAGGCAAAAAGAGUCCUCACACGGCAGGACCUGAUGCCACAAAGGACAUUGAUGAAGAGGAAGAUUGGUGCGGUGGGGAUCCUCUGCAAUGAACGGGAGAACAUCACUCCACACUCAGUCCCUGCACCACUACGCUUCCUCAUGGGAAUCAUCGUGGAGAGAAACAUUGUGAUGGACACCGACAGCCUGCCUCAGGCUAAGAACAUUGUCUUUGGACUUGCCUACGCACUCCAUCUCAACUAAGCAAAGUGCAUGAAGAACACCUUUGAUUUUGUUCAACAGGUACUUCUGUAAGAACGAUCUGAAACCUGAACUCCAGACACUCAAGAAUCAGCCUGCAAUGUAAGAUGCGGAAUCUCCUCCUGUCCUUGGAGGUUUUUUGUUUUUUUGUUUACUAUCAGUCCAUGGUUUUGAUGUUUUUGUU